CCAAACUUGGUCAUUUAGAGGAAGUAAAAGUCGUAACAAGGUUUCCGUAGGUGAACCUGCGGAAGGAUCAUUACAGAGUGAGAGUUCCUCGUGAACUCAACCUCCCAUCCGAUGUUUAAUCAUACCUCUUGUUGCUUUGGUGGUCGAGCCGAUCUCGGUCGUGCUUGCCCACCAAUAGCCUUUAUUAAUUCUUUAUAAAUCAUGUGACUGAACUAUUUUUAUUUAAUUAAAAACAAAAACUUUCAACAACGGAUCUCUUGGUUCUGGCAUCGAUGAAGAACGCAGC
rnacentral:misc_RNA from 1 species